rnacentral:rRNA from 1 species
UACGUAGGGUGCAAGCGUUGUCCGGAAUUAUUGGGCGUAAAGAGCUCGUAGGCGGUUUGUCGCGUCUGCUGUGAAAACUGGAGGCUCAACCUCCAGCCUGCAGUGGGUACGGGCAAACUAGAGUGCGGUAGGGGAGAUUGGAAUUCCUGGUGUAGCGGUGGAAUGCGCAGAUAUCAGGAGGAACACCGAUGGCGAAGGCAGAUCUCUGGGCCGUAACUGACGCUGAGGAGCGAAAGCGUGGGGAGCAACAGG